ensembl:lncRNA
GUGGAGUGAUUGAUAUAGAGUGUGGUGUGAUAUAUAGCUUGGAGUGAUAAACAAUGUGGAUUGAUAUACAGCUUGGAGUGAUGUACACUGUUGAGCGAUAAACUGUGUGGAGUGAUAUACAGCUUAGAAUGAUAUACCGCAUGGUAAUACACAGAGUGGAGUGAUUUACAGUGUGGGCAGAUUUACUGAGUGAAAGAGAGAGAGAGAGAGAGAGAGAAAGAGUAAAAUAGUCAAGACACAGGCAGAUUGAUUAGAUGGAAAAAAGUGACAUAUAGAAAACUCAAAAGAUAGAACAACAGAGGUACUGUAGAGAGAUAGAACAACAGAGGUAGAGAGACUUAACCACAGAGGUAGAGAGACUUAACCACAGAGGUAGAGAGAUAGAACAACAGAGGUAGAGAGACUUAACCACAGAGGUAGAGAGAUAGAUCAACAGAGGUAGAGAAUUAGAACAAAAGAGGUAGAGAGAUAGAUCAACAGAGGUAGAGAGAUAGAACAGAGGUAGAGAGAUAGAACAACAGAGGUUGAGAGACUUAACCACAGAGGUAGAGAGAUAGAACAACAGAGGUUGAGAGACUUAACCACAGAGGUAGAGAGAUAGAACAACAGAGGUAGAGAGAUAGAUCAACAGAGGUAGAGAAUUAGAACAAAAGAGGUAGAGAGAUAGAUCAACAGAGGUAGAGAGAUAGAACAGAGGUAGAGAGAUAGAACAACAGAGGUAGAGAGAUAGAACAACAGAGGUAGAGAAUUAGAACAAAAGAGGUAGAGAGAUAGAUCAACAGAGGUAGAGAGAUAGAACAGAGGUAGAGAAAUAGAACAACAGAGGUAGAGAGAUAGAACAACAGAGGUAGAGAGACUUAACCACAGAGGUAGAGAGAUGGAACAACAGAGAUAGAGAGAUAGAACAACAGAUGUAGAGAAAUAGAACAACCGAUGUAGAGAGAUAGAUCAACAGAGGUAGAGAGACUUAACCACAGAGGUAGAGAGAUAGAUCAACAGAGGUAGAGAAUUAGAACAACAAAGGUAGAGAGAUAGAUCAACAGAGGUAGAGAGAUAGAACAGAGGUAGAGAAAUAGAACAACAGAGGUAGAGAGAUAGAACA